rnacentral:tRNA from 1 species
GGGCGUGUAGCUCAGUUGGUCAGAGCACUCGGCUUACAACCGAGCGGUCGGAGGUUCGAGUCCUCUCGCGCCCA